GACGAACGCUGGCGGCGUGCUUAACACAUGCACGUCGAACGGAAAGGCCCUGCUUGUGUGGGGUGCUCGAGUGGCGAACGCGUGAGUAACACGUGAGUAACCUGCCCUUGACUUUCGGAUAACCUCAGGAAACUAGGGCUAAUACCGGAUAGGAGCUCCUGCUGCAUGGUUGGGUGUGGAUAGUUUAGGCGGUUGGGGAUGGACUCGCGGCUUAUCAGCUUGUUGGUGAGGUAGUCGCUUACCUAGACUUUGACGGGUAGCCUACCUGAGAGGGUCAGCAGACACAGUAAGACAGAGAUGAGACGCAAACUGCUACGCAAGACAGGAGUGCGGACAAUCAGACAGCGACUGGACGCCAGAAGAAGCAACACCGGGUACGUGAAGACGACCUGCUGGUUGUAAACCGCUUGCGGCUGUGUAGUAGCGGGGUUGAGGGUAAUGGGUAAAGAAGCACCGGCUAAAUACGUG
rnacentral:rRNA from 1 species